GUUAUGUGUUGCUGGCAAAGUCUCUUCCUUUCCCUGCUCUUCAGAAUAACCAAAGAACAUUUUCUGUUCCAGACCUGCCAGUGUCUUCAGCUGUUUCUAAACUACUCCUCCACUAAUCCCUCAUCUGGGUACAGCCUGACCUAAUUUGCUAUACUCCUGCCAGUUAUGCGUUUCGUAAGGAGAGGGCCCUGUCACGCCGGUGGCUUCAGCUCUGCUGCCUUCCCACAGCCAAGCGGCGCCCCGCCCGCCAUGGCCGCACCCGGGUCACCUUUCUCACCUGCCGCCAGCCGCAGCCUGUCGCUUCCCUCUUUGAGACAUCUCCCUGCGUGCCCCGAAGGCAAUAAGAGCCUUUACAUCUGCUUCUGUAUGUGA
rnacentral:lncRNA from 1 species